GCCGGGCGCGGUGGCGCCUGUAAUCCCAGCUACUCGGGAGGCUGAGGCUGGAGGAUCGCUUGAGCUCAGGAGUUCUGGGCUGCAGUGCGCUAUGCCGAUCGGGUGUCCGCACUAAGUUCGGCAUCAAUAUGGUGACCUCCCGGGAGCGGGGGACCACCAGGUUGCCUAAGGAGGGGUGAACCGGCCCAGGUCGGAAACGGAGCAGGUCCAAACCCCCAUGCUGAUCAUUAGUGGGAUCGCGCCUGUGAAUAGCCACUGUACUCCAGCCUGGGCAACAUAGCGAGACCCUGUCUCUA
rnacentral:SRP_RNA from 1 species